UAAUUAAAUAAAGCUCAUUGAGAGAGUUUGUUCAGUAAAAAGGACUAUUAUGCAUGUAAAAACCUCUUCAUUGCUAAUCACACUUGUUGACCCAUAAUGGAAUAGUGCUGAACCCUCCUUGAAGAGUUUGAACUUAAAUCCAGGGCAGGCACAUCACAAAAUAUUUUCCCUGGAAAUCUCCACUAUUCCUGAACUUACAGAUACAUUAUGUUAAGGGUGGGGGGAACAACAUAAAAAUAUAUUCCUAAGAAGCUGCUCUUAACACUGUUGCUUUCCCAUGUUCCAUAUAUGAAUUUAAGAAAGUCCAAAUAAACAAGAUCAACUAAGGAGAAUUUUGGAGGAUAAGUGCAAUACCACAAAAUCACAUUUCUACUACUGAGAAUUGAAUUAUGCUAAAAAAAAAGAACAACUACUUUGUUUAUCAUAUAUGUCUCAGGAAAUACUCAGGUCUUUCAUUAUUUGCUGGCCAAGGGACAGAGGUGCAUUAAAAGGAGCCAAAUACACCUGAAUAAAAUUAUAAGGAUUGGUUUUGUCAAAAAAGAAAAAAAAAAAGUCCUAAAUGUCUGUGUUUUGUCCAAAACAUUUUGUCCCAAACUCUGAAAUCUAUUACUAUCUUCCAGUAUUCUUAAAAAAAACAAAACAAAAAAAAAAAAAAAAAAAAAAACAAAAAACAAGCAAAUAGCUUAUCUUUCAAGCAUGGAAAAUUUGAUGUAAUGCUAAGUUUUACCUAUAAACAAGUUUAAAGGUUUGGUUUAUAUGACUUCAUACCCAAUGCUAUGAUGAGCACGUUUAUUGAGGACCUCCUGAGUGUUUUUCAAUACAUGUUCUGCACAGAAGUAAACAGCCAUUUGUGCAGUACAGUUCCCACUCAUUUUCCCUUCCCAUUUCCCCUGUGUUGUCAACUGACUUCUUUAACACUUAUAUAAUCUUAGUCAUAAAAUACCAGAAGUGCAAAAAGUAGUGUAUCAAAACUUUUUUAAUGUCUUAGAGAUGGGAGAGGGGGAGCACAUUAUACUAGGAUGCUAAUUAGAUGGAAAAGGGUGCUAUUGUAUGCUGCAGGGAGAUUUCCCUUGUUUCACUGAAAGGAAAAAAAAAAAAAAAGCUUCCACAAGCUCAGCUAUUUUGACAAAAGGACCUAUGGAGCUGCUCAUGCAAGAAACACAUCUUGUUCCCAAAGCAACCAAACCACUUUGGGAAGGGAGGGAAAGAGAGCAUCUCUCUUUGAUAUGGAUUUGAAGGUGAUAUGCUGUGUCUCAUGAAGGAGCACCCCGCUGGUACAGUCAGCAUAGGUUGGGUUGUCUUAAUAGCCAUUUUAAACUCAAUGCUGGCAUUGCUGCAAAACUCAGGAGCAAAGCAACCAAGUCUCGGGGACUUCAAAUAAACCCCCAAACAAAUCAAAAAAAACAACCAACCCUGCAAAAUCCUCAAAAAGCACCUAUCAAAGUGAUUUCAAUCCAGUGAUCCGGUGCACAGUAAAAGGAUGUAAACUCUUCUAAUCCCACUCUUUGAGCUCCUCCAGGCUCCAGCUCCCGUUGCCAUGGCCCAGCUGACACCUCACAGCCCAGUGGUGCCUCCUGCAUGGCCUGACAGCUGCUGGCUGUGGGUUUGCACACUGCAAAUACAGCUUGGGGGGCGAGGAGCAUGAGUGGCAGCAAUUCCAGUCCAGGAGGUUUUAUUACAAUGAGUUCAGCUCCAGGCAGGCUGCCGUCAUCAGCGUAUUUCUGACAGGUAUUUUAUUUUUCCUCCACAGAAUACCCACUGCUACAUUGAAUACUGCUGGUUUAUUUAGAUAAAAUAAAAUUUAAGGAGAAUAAAAUAAAUAAAAGGAGAACCUACUGUUCUCCUUUGUGCUAAUAGAGACUGACUUUAUCCUUCCACAUAAUCCCACCAAAUCAAUUAAAACAUGUUCAGCGGGUUGAAAGGAUACUAGUGAAGUAUUAACAAAAGCCUGGUUUGGAUUAUGCAAAAUUUUUGCAGCAAUUGACUGAUGCAAAGAUUUUUGUGGUAAUACUUUCAGGAAAAGAAAAUAAAUCUAGCUCUUCAGAAUGUUUCUUACUCUGUUUUGCUCAGCAGCUCUUGGAAGCUAUUAGGUCAAAUCCCCACAACACUGACCUUUUUCUGAGGUUUGUAAGUCAAUAUGUGAGUGAUGAGUGAAGUCUCCCAUAGUCGUUCAUGGAAAUCUCUAAAGUGCUGCUAUAAACUGGUGCUUAAGGAUAUUAAAUAGGAAAAUGUCUUAAAACAGAAGCAGCUCAUGUCUGGGUAUGCUUGGGUGCAUCACUGUCAGCUAAGGAACCCAUCUAGGACAUUCCUGUGCCUUCCUGGGAAUGAAACAGAAUUCCUGAGGACAGGGAAAUGAACCAUGCCCCAUGCCAAUGGGGGCUUGGAAACCUGCCAGGGCAUGUGUUCCCAUGUCUCACAACCAGCUAAAAUGCUUGGUCUGGUCAGCAGACAGUCAAUACUCCUUCCAUUGCAAAAAAAAAAAAAAA
ensembl:lncRNA